AAUAGAUACUCCGGUAGUCCACGCCGUAAACGAUGAGUGCUAAGUGUUGGGGGGUUUCCGCCCCUCAGUGCUGCAGCUAACGCAUUAAGCACUCCGCCUGGGGAGUACGGUCGCAAGACUGAAACUCAAAGGAAUUGACGGGGGCCCGCACAAGCGGUGGAGCAUGUGGUUUAAUUCGAAGCAACGCGAAGAACCUUACCAGGUCUUGACAUCCCGGUGACCACUAUGGAGACAUAGUUUCCCCUUCGGGGGCAACGGUGACAGGUGGUGCAUGGUUGUCGUCAGCUCGUGUCGUGAGAUGUUGGGUUAAGUCCCGCAACGAGCGCAACCCUUAUUCUUAGUUGCCAUCAUUCAGUUGGGCACUCUAAGGAGACUGCCGGUGAUAAACCGGAGGAAGGUGGGGAUGACGUCAAAUCAUCAUGCCCCUUAUGACCUGGGCUACACACGUGCUACAAUAGACGGUACAAACGGUUGCCAACCCGCGAGGGGGAGCUAAUCCGAUAAAACCGUUCUCAGUUCGGAUUGUAGGCUGCAACUCGCCUAC
rnacentral:rRNA from 1 species